AGUGAACGCUGGCGGCAGGCCUAACACAUGCAAGUCGAACGGCAGCACAGGAGAGCUUGCUCUCUGGGUGGCGAGUGGCGGACGGGUGAGGAAUACGUCGGAAUCUGCCUAUUUGUGGGGGAUAACGUAGGGAAACUUACGCUAAUACCGCAUACGACCUACGGGUGAAAGCGGAGGACCUUCGGGCUUCGCGCAGAUAGAUGAGCCGACGUCGGAUUAGCUAGUUGGCGGGGUAACGGCCCACCAAGGCGACGAUCCGUAGCUGGUCUGAGAGGAUGGUCGGCCCAACUGGAAAGGCGGCGCGGUCCAGACUCCUACGGGAGGCAGCAGUGGGGAAUAUUGGACAAUGGGCGAAAGCCUGAUCCAGCCAUGCCGCGUGAGUGAAGAAGGCCCUCGGGUUGUAAAGCUCUUUUGUCCGGAAAGAAAAGCGCUCGGUUAAUACCCAAGCGUCAUGACGGUACCGGAAGAAUAAGCACCGGCUAACUUCGUGCCAGCCGCCGCAGUAAAAC
rnacentral:rRNA from 1 species